UGAAGGCAGAGAGGUCAGCAGGCUCGGGGGCCUCUGCUCCAGCGGACAACAAGCGCACCGGGCGGGAACGGCCGCCUCCCCAGGCGCUGCAGCCUAGCUCUCAUGUGACCCACGGAACUUAGCCCCUCUGUUCUGUUUGCAUACCUGCAAAUUGUGGGCAUUCACGCCGGGACUGCCAACUCACCAGGUUAUUUAUAGUGACAAGAGAGUGAGACAGUGGGCUUGAAAGUGUUUUCCAGACCAAGGCUCUGUCCCACAUAUAGGUGGAUUAACUGGCAAAGGCAGGUCUCUUCUUCGGCCUCUCUGACAUGGUGCCAGCCCUGCUGGAGUCAGCAGGAAUCCAGCACAACAGAUGGUGGUCAGUGGUGACUUCAGCACAGGCAGUUCGUGGGGAGUGGUUGGUGGCCAUGGAGUCCUGACUGGAGUAGGUUAAAAAGAAGGAGGAAAAUCACAAGAAAGAGAGACUGGAGGUGAGGAAGCAGACAUAGAAGGUCUAAAUGUAUUCACUUCUGGAGCUGCCAUAACUAAGAACUGCAGAUUGGGCAUCUUACAGAACAGAAAGGUAUUUUCUUGAUAGUUCUGGAGGCUGGAAAUCCAAAAUCAAUGUGUUGUCAGGGCUGGUUUCUGCUGAGGCCUCUCUCCUUGGCUUGUGGAUGGCUGUCUUCUCCCUGUGUGCCCACAUGCUCUGCCUGUGUUUGUCUGCAUCCUAAUCUCCUCUUCUCGUAAGGACACUAGUCAUACGGGAUUAGGGGCCACCCUAAUGACCUGUUGAUCACCUGUCUCAAAGCCCUAUCUCCAC
rnacentral:lncRNA from 1 species